rnacentral:rRNA from 1 species
AACGACCUCAGAGCACGCGAGGUUACCCGCUGAAUUUAAGCAUAU